rnacentral:rRNA from 1 species
AAAAAUAAAAUUAAUUUGAAUUUUUUAAGUGAAAUUUUAAAUUUAAUUAAUUUUAUAACAAAAAUUUUAAUGAAGCUAAAAAAUUUUAAUAAUAAACUAGGAUUAGAUACCCUAUUAUUUAAAAAGUAAAUUUAUAUACUUGAGUAGUAAUAGAUAUAAUCUUCAAACUUAAAGAAUUUGGCGGUGUUUUAGUCUAUUUAGAGGAACCUGUCCUGUAAUCGAUAAUCCACGUUGGACCUUACUAAAAUUUGUUGUCAAUUUGUAUAUCGCCGUUAUCAGAAUAUCUUAAAAGAGGAAUAAUUUUCUUAAUUUAUAAUUAUAAUUGAUGUCAGGUCAAGGUGCAGUUUAUAUUUUAGUAGAGAUGGGUUACAAUAAAUUUAUUUAUACAUUAAAUUGUUUGAAAUAAUGAUUUUAAGGUGGAUUUAAAAGUAAAA